UGGGGAAUUUUGGACAAUGGGCGAAAGCCUGAUCCAGCAAUGCCGCGUGUGUGAAGAAGGCCUUCGGGUUGUAAAGCACUUUUGUCCGGAAAGAAAUCCUUGGCUCUAAUACAGUCGGGGGAUGACGGUACCGGAAGAAUAAGCACCGGCUAACUACGUGCCAGCAGCCGCGGUAAUACGUAGGGUGCAAGCGUUAAUCGGAAUUACUGGGCGUAAAGCGUGCGCAGGCGGUUUGCUAAGACCGAUGUGAAAUCCCCGGGCUCAACCUGGGAACUGCAUUGGUGACUGGCAGGCUAGAGUAUGGCAGAGGGGGGUAGAAUUCCACGUGUAGCAGUGAAAUGCGUAGAGAUGUGGAGGAAUACCGAUGGCGAAGGCAGCCCCCUGGGCCAAUACUGACGCUCAUGCACGAAAGCGUGGGGAGCAAACAGGAUUAGAUACCCUGGUAGUCCACGCCCUAAACGAUGUCGACUAGUUGUUGGGGAUUCAUUUCCUUAGUAACGUAGCUAACGCGUGAAGUUGACCGCCUGGGGAGUACGGUCGCAAGAUUAAAACUUAAAUGAAUUGACGGGGUCAUAGCUGUUUCCU
rnacentral:rRNA from 1 species